UACAGAGGUGGCAAGCGUUGUUCGGAAUUACUGGGCGUAAAGGGCGAGUAGGUGGCCAUCUAAGUCAGACGUGAAAUCCCCCGGCUUAACCUGGGAACUGCGUCUGAUACUGGACGGCUUGAGUAUGGGAGAGGAACGUAGAAUUCCAGGUGUAGCGGUGAAAUGCGUAGAUAUCUGGAGGAAUACCGGUGGCGAAGGCGGCGUUCUGGACCAUUACUGACACUGAAUCGUGAAAGCUAGGGGAGCAAACGGG
rnacentral:rRNA from 1 species